UUCAUGGUGUUACAGAUGGUUGUGAAAGGGAUUGCUAAAGACUUCACGAAUAAUGAAAAUAUCAACUUCGAGGAAAAUUGCCCCAACAUACCAUCUCCGGUUUGAGUUUAAGGGUUUUGAUAUUUCAACUUUUUAUUCUAUAAAAUACUUUUUUAGUUUUGAGGUUUUGAGCACAUAAGUUUCUUGGGUUUGUGUUAUAGUACUCUUAUUUGCUUACACUUGUUCACCAAUUACCGAAAAUAGAUAGCGGCAUGAUUUAGGAAUUAGACUAUUGACAAUGAUUAUGGUGACUACGUCUGCUUUAGAGAUUGAGAACGAGUGUCGAACAAAUUAAGGUAAAAACUUGGAGAUGUUAAAAUUAUUUUGGAAUUGCAUUAUUGAUAGUGAUUACACUGGCUAAGUUCUGGUUGUAUACUAUGUCUUAGAAUCUAAAUUAUCAUCAUUAUUUUUCUUUUGGGAUUUGUAGCAAAUGAUAUUGAGAUUGUCUAUGUCUUUUUCUGCUUAUGAGCAAUACGGUGUACAUUAGUACAACGUAGCAACUCUAUUGUAUUUGUGUAUUGAUUUUGGAACUAAGUGUCUCUGAUGACCUAUUUGUUUCAUUUUUCUGACUUGUUAUUAUUUUUAAAUAUGUGCAGGAAGACUACUUCUACGACCUGCCUUACAAUACUGGGUAUCAAAUUUUCGUGCUACGUUUACGAAAGACAAGGGACGAAAUUAUGAAGUGUACUCUCUCUAUAUAUGUAGAUAUAUACUUUGAUUGAAGAACUGUGGUAGUUUUAGAUGGUUAAUUGUAAAGAUAAUGAAUGAUUAUAUAGUGGAUGAUUUUAUUAAAUUAAUAAUAUUUUAGUUUUUUGUAUGUUUGCCAUUAUUUGCUAUGGAGACAUUGAGCCAG
rnacentral:lncRNA from 1 species